CUACGGGUGGCUGCAGGCGCGAAAACUCCGCAAUACGCGCAAGCGUGACGGGGGAACCCCAAGUGCCAUGCCUUCGGGUAUGGCUUUUGUAGAGUGUAAAAAGCUCUGCGAAUAAGAGCUGGGUAAGACCGGUGCCAGCCGCCGCGGUAACACCGGCAGCUCGGGUGGUGGCCGCUAUUAUUGGGCCUAAAGCGUCCGUAGCCGGCUCGGUAAGUCCUUGGGAAAAUCCGCUCGUUCCACGAACGGGGCCCUGAGGAUACUGCCGAACUUGGGAACGAGAGAAGUCGGAAGUACUCCUGGGGUAGCGGUGAAAUGCUGUAAUCCUAGGGGGACUACCAGUGGCGAAGGCGUCCGACUAGAGCGGGUCCGACGGUGAGGGACGAAAGCCAGGGGAGCGAACGGGAUUAGAUACCCUAGUAGUC
rnacentral:rRNA from 1 species